GCUAGCCCCCGCGCUGUGCCCGCCUAGCAGCUUCCCCUCCGCGGCAAUCACGCUCAUCUUCCAUCCCGCCGGAGAUCACGCACGCCGGCCGCCCAUGAGCGUGAACCCGUCCCCUCGGCCCUCUCCGAUCCAAUCCACACCCCCUUCUUCUUUCCUCUCCGGCGGGCUGCGGCGCACUCGCCUCCUCCCCUCCACCCUCCACACCUCGAGAACCCCUUCCCUAGCGGCGGCGCACCGGCAGCGCCCUCUCCUUCACCCGGCGAGUGCCUCCCUGCUUCUCUCCCUCCGCCCGGCUUGGAGCCAACAUGGGACCGGUGCGGCUCGGGCACGCGUGCGGGCGGGCCUUCCGUGGCGGCGUGCGGGAGGGCAAGUCGCGUGCGCGCAGCAGGCGACGCGUGCCGCCACGUACAGGGGUCGGUGCGCGGGACCCGCGGCAAGUGAGGCUGCGCGCACGGGGCGCGUGGGAGCAGGACGCGGGACGAGGUGCAGACCCGCUCGCGGGCGUGCAGGCGCGGGAGCUGCUGCGAGCGGUAGGAGCAAAGCAGCAGGACUGCUGCGGCGGAGCAGAGGCGCCUCGCGUCCGUGCAGGCGAGGCACGCGCGCAGGAAGCUGGCGAAGCAGCAGUAGCUACGCGUUGGAGCUCGCUGGCUCAGGGGACCGAGACGAGGACCAGCCUGCGCCGGUCACGCGCAUGGAGGCGCCGCCGUGUUCAUCUUCUUGUGAGUAAUUCGCAUUCGACAUGUUAAAAAAAUCAGAUGCCAACGGGUGCAGAUCCACUCUUCCGUAUAGCCUCGAUGUAGCGGAGGGGACGCCCGUCGCCCGUUGCCCAAGCGGGGUGCGCUGGCGGCGCGACCCACGGCACGACGGGAUGCGCUUCGGUGAGGAGCGGCUGUGGCGGCAACGUUCGUGCUGCCGGAGGCGCUACUCGGCAGCUCCGACCCCUGACGGCCCGUAGCGCUGCACGCGGGGGCUGCUGGGCAACACCACUGCAAUCCUCACCUCACCGGCCAGCCUAACCCUGUGUUUGCAUUGAAGCGUUGAUGCCGGCAUGCCGUGGUAUUUUUGUAUUAAAAAUGAGUGUGGAGUUGUGGACAUAGCUGAUGCAAAAUGAAAUGGAUGCAGGUGCUGUGGGCAUAGCUGGUGGCUACCGUGGACAGAAUCUGCAGGCUGCCAUAACUACUGAACCGCUUUUCACGUCCAUAUAUGUCACACACAAUACCAAGACAAACUUAGCAGCAAUUAAAGGAAUCUCCUCAAUGACGAUCAAAGGCAGCACAACAAAUACCCUACUGCGAGCGAAUUAACAUCACCAAUCACCUCUGAUCAGGCUUCAAGGGCCAUUUGUCCAUUCAGGGAAUGAUCUGAUGCUUAAUUGUACAGAGAAUACGGGGAAGUUCAUUAUUGAUAUAUUUGAUCACCCUACAGCUUUGCCUUUGCACCAUCUCUCUAUGUGCACAAGCAAGACAAAGCUUUAGGAGCAGAUCAAGUUAGAACAACUCGUGCAGUGUUACCUUACAGAGGUGACGUUUAUAUAUAUUCCCCCAUUAGUCGUCUUGGUUCAUGAUGGUUGGAUUGGCUGCUUGUUCAGACAGAGGUGAUGCUGAUAUUUCACACACAAAUAUAUGGUGGCCUUGGCAUGAGUUAUUCUAAUGAUUAAGCUGAUCAUAUUGCCUCGAGCAUAGGAAUUUGUUGGUUUGAUUAAGUCUACCACUUGAUACUCUUGACUACUUUUUGAAUGGCAAAAUUCAGUGCCUUCAGGUAUUAAUAAGUUUAGCAUCUUUGAAAUUUCUUGCUUCGUCAAAUUUUGUAAAUUGUUCAUGACAUUCCUUUGAGUUAAAACUUAAUUUCUCAUUCUUUCACAUGAAACAAAGAUAUACCACAAUGAGUAUUUUAUUGGGUGCUCGAGCUGGAUUGUCCAUUGUUCUCUCUUAGUGGUUAAGCCAACCACGUACAAAUUCCUCUCACAGUGAAAGCUUAGGCAAAAUGGAAAUCGACCUAAGUGAUUCAUAAGUGAAAC